AUCAGUUGGCAGAGAGUCCAACACCAGUAUGGUGUGCACCAUACCAAACAAAACACAAACUGCAUUCAAGAUGCAAGAUUUUCUUUCUCAAGAUUAUCUCAAAGAGAAAGUCAGGCCCCUCCCAAGUAGCUAAAAUCCCCAUCAAACAUUAACUUGAUGUUAAAACUGAGGUUUGGAUGUAACUUAAUAAAACCUUUCCCUCCCAUCUCUUGGUCUCUCUCUUCCCAACUUGUCACUCCAAUACCAGCAGUAAGGCUGUUUUGGUAAUAAGCUGUAAUCACAAGAAACACCACAACACAGACGUCAUCUCCACUGGAAAGCAAAAAAAGAACAUCCCUGCACUCAGGCUUACUCAAAAAACUGGUGGUUUGAUUUGCAAUCUCGUUAAGCCAAGCUCUAAUGGCUUGCAGCCACGGAAAGGAACAACUGAGCUCUUCCCAUGAUAUUUUUUUUUUACAACCUUCUUUAUGCUCCACAUUAGCUCACUACAAGGCAUAUGAAAUGAGUGUUUGCUAACCCAUGGGUCAGUACAAGACAGUGACAAACUGGUACCCCCAAGGUCUCACUGUGUUGACCAGGAGAGGAAAUACAGCUGAUGGGUCUCACUGCUCCACAGGAUGAGCAAAGAGCUUUAGCAUUUCAGUGCCGCUAAUUUUCUUGACGAGGAAGCAGAAAAGUUAAGAAGUGCAUUUUGCAGAAACAGUUCUCACCAGGCAACCAAGGCAUAGCACUCAGUAGCCACUUUCUAACCCCCUAUUUUUACCUAAAAUUUCAGACUUCCAAAGGCAAGGUUUAAAUAAUGUGAGCAUGGCAGUAAACGUAGGUGUUUCCUACUUCACGAUCUCUUUUAAUUAAAACAACGUCAUACAUCUGCUGGGUAGAAAUAACAAACUGAAAUCAAACAGGUCCCUCUUCCUGCAGCAUAGGAGCAUAUUGUAUCUCUCUGUGCAAGAAAUCAAAUCCAGUCAAAAGGGUAUUUUGCACCCAUUCAUCCAACAACCUCUUGGAGGGGCGUACAGAGAGAACAUCUGUGCACUGACUUAAUUCCCAAUUUUUCAGCUUGAUUACUGGCAGAUCUUAAAAUAGCUGCUGGAUGAUAAGUUGUAAAUCAAGUGUGCAGUCUAACAAGAGAUACAACUCUGACAUUUUUGCUCAUUCUGUAAUCACAGCCUAUUAUCACAGACUAUAUUUUUUUUAAUGGCUUCUAUUCAUUUGAAGUCAUUCUGUACAGGAAUAAGCCUCUUGUUAGAGCAUUCUGUAAUUAUUGCUAUGAAAUAUUUCAUUGUAUUUCGGUUUGGAUGAGGAGAGCAAUGCGUGCAACUGAGGAUCACACUGAUCUAUAGCAUAUCUAUAUUUAAUAUAAAUACAAGUAAAACAGUGUAGGCUUUUUCAUAUAUAAAAAAUGUAACGUAAAAUAAACUAAGGUUAUGGUAGCCCUAUUCCAGGCAGGAAUUGGACAGCACUCUACAGGACCGACCUCAACUAAGACAACCACCCUUAUCUCGAGCAGUUUAGCAUUAUAAUCUCUCAGUAUUCAGCUAUGUACAGUCAGGGAUCCCCUUGAAAGUUAUAUAUUUAAAAUACAUUUUAUUUAAACAACAAGAAGAAAAGAUUUAACGUGUCCUUAUAAAAAAUGGUAUAAAUAUCUGACUGUGAGCAUAGUGAUAGGCAAACAGAAAAUCCAUGCACGCAAAUAGGUGAAAAAGCAUGACCUGACAUUCCGGCCAGGAAGUUACAAUAGAUGAGAAACUUCGAUAUAUAUUUGGAAAUAAGGCAAAGGGAACAAUGAAGUUUUAGUCAGAAGGAAUGCAAAAAUUGCCGGACAGUUCAGAUACUUACAUUAAGCAGCUUACUAGGAAAAGCACCCACAGAAAAAGCUUAAGGCUCUACAGAGACAUGAGACAGACUUCUGCAUUUAUCACCGGAUUAGAUUACAAAGGUACUACUCCCAGCAGCCUAAUUGCUUCUUAGUAUUACCUGUCAGCUCGGAGGUGUCAAAAGGCAUUUAAGAUGGAGAACCCUCAUUUGAAUUCUCAAAUACAAUCCG
ensembl:lncRNA